AAAAAUGAGUGUGUUGCAAGGUUAAAAGAGCUGCUUAUAGUUUGUGUUUGAUAGAUCUUUCACAGAAAAAGAAUCAGAGAGAGCUGCACUGUAGUCUGCAUACAUAACCAACAUGAAUACCAGUGUUCUAAAAAGCACUAGGCAGUAAGCGGCGGCCGAGGCUUAACCGCCUAGACGCCUAGGUGGACCUAGCGUUUGUUAUUUUUAUUUUUUUAUUUAUUUAGACAUUAUAUUUACUAAAAUAUAAUAAAUGACCAAUAUCAAUUCUAACAAAAAAAUAAUUCAAAAUAGUAAGUUCAAAAAAAAUGUUUUGUAAAUAUAUUAAGAGGAAGAUUAAAUGACAAUUUAAGUCUUUAAAAUACUAGAGAUUAAAAUUAGGUCCUUCUAAAAUCGCUAGCGGUGAGCAGGGGGGCCGGGGGGCCAGCAGCCCUUGUCGGCCUAACACCUAAGCGGUCGAUUUUUAGAACAGUGAUGAAUACCAUACCAAACAAAUGGUAAUUGUCAAUUUGUCACUUCAAAUUUAAACAGUUGCUUCCUCACUACCAUGGCAGUAACUUCACACAUUGAUUUUUUUCCCCUCCAUCAUCAGAAUCUAACUUUUCUGAAGUACAGUGAAAGCUUGGAGUUGAUUUCCUCCUGC
rnacentral:lncRNA from 1 species